ACACUCCUACGGGAGGCAGCAGUGGGGAAUUUUGGACAAUGGGCGAAAGCCUGAUCCAGCAAUGCCGCGUGAGUGAAGAAGGCCUUCGGGUUGUAAAGCUCUUUUGUCAGGGAAGAAACGGUGAAAGCUAAUAUCUUUUGCUAAUGACGGUACCUGAAGAAUAAGCACCGGCUAACUACGUGCCAGCAGCCGCGGUAAUACGUAGGGUGCAAGCGUUAAUCGGAAUUACUGGGCGUAAAGCGUGCGCAGGCGGUUUCGUAAGUCUGAUGCGAAAUCCCCGGGCUCAACCUGGGAAUUGCAUUGGAGACUGCAAGGCUAGAAUCUGGCAGAGGGGGGUAGAAUUCCACGUGUAGCAGUGAAAUGCGUAGAUAUGUGGAGGAACACCGAUGGCGAAGGCAGCCCCCUGGGUCAAGAUUGACGCUCAUGCACGAAAGCGUGGGGAGCAAACAGGAUUAGAUACCCUGGUAGUCCCAUGA
rnacentral:rRNA from 1 species